CAUUUAGGUUCUUAUGUCUCUAACUUUUGAUGACUUUCUCGAAGUUGUAUUUUUUUGGGGAAAAUAUAUUUUUAGGAAAUAAUUUAGUGAUAUUGAUGCAAAUAUUAACUUAUUUAGUUAUGCAUGUACAACGUGUUUGUUGGAUUUUUGUCGAUUUUUCGCAUAUAUUGUUAUUAUUGUUACGGUGUUGUAGUAGCAUAUGUAGUUGUAACUUAAUUCUUUUUGGGUGUGGAUCAAGUGAGGGUAGGGUUGGGUGUUGAGGGUGUGGGGUCCACUUGUAUUAUUUAAUAUGCAAAAAAUAAUGCUCUUAAAGUUUCGACUAUUGAGUUUUCUCUUUGUUUACUGAUUUCAAUGUGUUUGUGUGGUUGAAUUGUUGCUUUUUCAGAAAUCUUUCAAUGUCUUUUGAUCUUGUAACUUUAAGAUGGUAUCAUAGGGUGAAAUAGAAUUUGGUCCCCCACCUGAAUAUAUUGGUGGGUCUGUGACUGAGCUUUUCGAUAAAGAUAUUGAUAUAAUGUCCUACUUUGAGUUAAGAGACUACAUAAAAUAUCCAGGAUAUACAACCUAGUGUGAUUUCUUUGUUAAAUGAAAUGGUUAUUUGGUAGAAAUUAAAUAUGAUAAAGUUAUUUGUGACAUUGUUAGCAAGUUAAAAAAUAGGGUUGAACUUGAGGUGUAUGUUUCACAUGGGGUGAGUGAACCAGUUCAAAACCCACUUGAAUUAGAGUAUGUCCCCAAUAUAAGUGACAAUGGGGUAGGUGAGAAAUAUUUGAACCCUAUAUAUGAAGGUGAUGCUUAUAGCCCUAAUUUUUAGACUUGUACUUUCAAUUUUCCUUCCAACCCUCCUGACAAGCCUCCUCCUUCUAAUAUACCUUCCAACUCUUUUGACCCUACAGUAGAUGAGAAUCCAAGCGAUGAUGAUUUAGAGGAUAAUUCAAAUUUAGAAGGGAAUAAUAGUGGAGACAGUGAUGUCCAUCAAGAAUAUAUUGAUAUAAGGGCUAGUAAAAUACAUUUCAAUAGGUCACAAAGAAGAAGUAGAGGACAACAGAUGAACAGGUUAAUAUUGGUGAAAAAGAUCCAGAUAUAGGGUAUGAUGAGACAAAUGUUAGCACUAGGGAUAGCCUAGUUGGUAAACCAGGAGGUGAUAAACCUUACAACCUAAGUGAUGAAGCUCUUAGCUUUGAAUUAGAUGGUGAAGUAAGUUGGGGAGAUGGUGUGGUUGAUGAAGUAGUGCAACAACCUAUGAGAAAAAAGAACAAAAACAACAGAGUUAUUUUUGAUGAAACUUGUGAAAAAAUUAUUUGAGAAUUAGGAUUGGUUUUUUCAAGUGUAAAGAAAUUUAGGCUGGUAGUAACCAGAUAUGCAAUUCAAGAAAAGUUUUAAAUUGAAAAGUAUGUGAAUGAGCCUGACAGAGUUAGAGUGAGAUGUUGUAAAGACACUUAUCCUUGGUUGUUAUGUGCUAGCAAGGAUAAGAGCAGUGGAGAUUUUAUUGUUAAAUGAUACAAUGCUAUUCAUAUUUAUUUGAGAUCAACUUUUAACUAUCUUUGCAACUCAAAGUUUUUGGAAAGUAAGUAUAAAGACAGAAUUAAUCAACAACCAAACAUUAGAGUUGUCCAGUUACAGUAGAUUAUUAGAAAGGAAUUGGAUAUCUAUGUUGGUAGGACAACUGUAAGAAGAUCUAUGUCUAAAGUGCUACAAGAGAUUAUGGGUGAUCACACUAAAGGUGUAUGGUAGGAGUUUUUAUUACAGGGAUGAGAUUUUGAGGACUAAUCCAGGUAGCACUUAUGUUGUCAAGGUUGGAGAUGCUGAUAAGACUGUAAAAUUAAUAUUUUAGGGUUUUUAUGUGUGCUUUCAUGAUUUAAAGAAAUCAUUAUUUGGAGGUUCAAGAAGGUUGAUUGGUUUGGACGGUUGUUUCCUCAAAGGUGUCUGCAAAGGUCAAUUGUUGGUGGCUGUUUACAGAGAUGAAAAUAACCAAAUACUGCCUAUUACAUGGGCAGUUAUUGAGGUUGAGAAUCAAUUUACAUGGGGGAUUUCUUGAACUGCUGAAGAAUGACCUUGAUCUUGGAGAAGGUCAUCAAUUGAGCAUCAUAUCUGAUAUGCAAAAGGGACUGAAAAUAGCUGUAAUAUAGUUGCUGACACUGGUUGAACACAGAAAGUGUGCAAGACAUGCUCUUGAUAAUUGGUCUAAAAUCUGAAAAAGGAUAGAAAGAAGAAAAGUAUUUUGAAAGAUUGCAAAAUCCACAUUUGAAGCAGAACUGAAGGAGAAUAUAAAAUUAAUGAAGAUGUUGGGGAGGGAUUGUUUGGAUGAUGUUUUAUGAUAUAAUUUGGAGACAUGAUGAAAAAGAUACUUUGAAAAGCAUUGCAAAUAUGAUGUUGUGAAAAGUAAUAUGGCAGAGAGUUUUAAUGCAUGGGUACUUCCUGCAAGGUUCAAAAUAAUUAUCACAAUGCUUGAGGAGAUUAGGGUGAAGAUGAUGAAAAAAAUUGGUGAGUUGAGACAGCUUUCAAAUACUUGGAUCACUGAUAUUCUCUCAUGACUUUGAAGAUUUUACAAGAAAAUAUUGUUAAGACAAUGCAAUGCAAUUCAUCUUGGAAUAGGGAAAGGGGUUUUGAGAUUGUUGACAAGGGUUGUACCAUACUAUUGACAUUGUUAAUAGGAGUUGCAGUUACAGAGUUUGGCAGCUUAGGGGCAUUACUUGUCUUCAUAGUGUUACUACCCUUCACCAUAAGGGAUAUGAGCCCAUUAAUUUUGCGGACACCUGCUAUUACAAGCCUCAGUACAUAUGCCUAUUUUAUUCAGCCAAUGAAUAACAUGAAAAUGUGUUCGACAUCAAUUAAUCCUACUGUAAGCCACUAAAAAUUAGAAACCUGCCUGGAAGACCAAGUAAAUUUAGAAGAAAAGAGGCUGAUGAAAGUAGAAAAAAGUGAAAAACUUAGAAAAUGUGGGACUGCAAUUACUUGUAGUAAAUGUGGUACAUAAGGACAUAACAAAAGAACAUGUCCUACAAGAGAUCAAUCUGAUACAAGUCAAUCAGCUACAACAUCUUCGUAGGAAUAAGUAUUUUUAUAAUCAUUAUCUAAUGUAUAUUCUAUUAAGUACAAGGAAUAAUCUUUUAAAACACAGGCUGGAGCUUCUAAUGGUAGAGGAAGAGGGAGAGAAAGGGGCAGUGGUCCAAGUCAUGUAGCUGGAACAUCGUAUCAGCAAAAGGUUUCUAUAAGUGGUCGAGGAAAGGGUAGUGGGAGAGAAAGAGAAAUGAAUCAAGAGAGCCAAACUAAUUUUGGCAUUAAAAGGGGAGUAGGAAGGGGAAAGCCUCCUCAAAGACAAGACUAUGAGGACAGUAGUGGAGGAUAUACAAGACCUUAUAAAAGACCAAGGAUGGUAGGGAUUGGAAUAUACCAAGCUGAAGAUGGCUUUACCCCUCUUAAUCCUGAAAUGUUAAGUAGAAGAGUUAUUAUCACUAGUGCCAAGGUCACAAAGAAGUCUGAUAUUGUGACUAGUGAUAUUGGCUACACACUAAGAUAAGGAUUUAAAUGGAAAAGGAAGUCGGCCAUUACUAAUAGCAAAUGUGAAAGAAUGAGGGCUGAAAAGAUUAUUCAAACGAGGUCUGCAGCUGCUGCCAAAACUCAAGGCAAAAAUAGUUCAACUAGGAAGAUUCAUGUGUCAUGGAAGUAGGACAUCUUGCUGAUAUGAUGUGUAUACAUUGGUGGAGAUUGUUGAUAUUGUCUCAAACAAUUAGUUUUUAUAUAUUUUAUUGUUGGUGAUGGCAUUUUGCUAUUACUUUAUAGAAAUCAAACAAUGUUUUGGGUAGUUUGUUUUGUUAGGUACUUUUAAGUAUUAAGGUAUGUUUUGUUAGGUACCAAACAAAACAAGCUUUGUAGUUUAAAUUGAAAUAAUGAAUAUGUUGAAAUG